AGCCAGCUCGCGCUUUUCGCUCCUCGUGUUUUCUCCCCCUCUCCCCGCCCGGCCCCUCCUUCCCUUCGAACGAACCUCCCUACUCGCGUGUAUCAGCUCUGGGACUCUUCUCUUGGCCCGGUGGUGCGCUCUCCGCUCUACACAGAGCGCGUCGUUGAGCGGCAAAACGCCACGCGACUCCGCACCGACGGCAUCCGAUCGGGAUCGGCCCGUAACUAAAAUUCAUUAUCAGGAAUACAUCGCGCGUCGAGGUGCAACUAUUAUUUUUUUCGUUACUUACUCAAUUAGCGAUACCCACGCGAACGUAAGGUUGUUUAAUCACGUCGAAACGCUUGGAGGAUUUUUUGUUACUUCAAAUUAUCCUGAAACCAGUUUGUCUCUGUACUCGAAUAUUUUCCCGCGCAAAAUCGAAUCCCUCGCCGUCCGGUAGAGUUCAUACCGACGAAUCUUUUCGUUCUUUCGUUUUUAUUGCGUUACGUCGGAAAAAUAAAUCUUAACGAAUUUUCCUCCGUUCCUUCCCCCACUUCGGGAAUCCCAAACAUGCGAGACGGCGGUAAGGUUUUGGAACUUUGACAGAGGAGCAAAGUGGUCGGAUCAGUGCUGGGAUUCGCGGCAAUCGAACUCAACUCUCGCACUACGAAUCGCUUAUCGACUCGUGCGUAGCAUAACCUGUGUAAUUUAUUUUCGUGGCGGACGGUCGUCUCAACUUUUCAUCUAGAAAUAAGCGGAAAAGCUUUAACAAAAAAGGAACAGCAAUUUUCGAAAAAUUGUUUCCGAGUGUACGUGCAAUCAGGACGAUUCGACGGACGACGCAUCGCGUAGCAAGUAAAACGUAGUAAACAAACCGUGUUAGACAACAAAAAAAAACAACAGUGAACGUACGCAGCACCGCGAAAGGACGUCACCGAAGAGUGACAUUUUUCGGUCAGAUAAUCACGGACAAAAAAGAACGUUCAAGUGUGUUUUAUUUAUUUCACUCAGAUAAUAACAUCAAUCCUAUAAAUAAAAAGUGCCCGAAGACACAAAAAGCUGGGAAAAUUGUGGUGAAUUGACAACGUGCGUUAGACGUACUUUUGGGUCGACCACCGUCGGCACAACUUGAGACGAAGCGAGAGUCGAAAGGCCCGAAGAUUCUGCCUUCGCAGCAACUUGGGGCUGCGGUCGCUCCAUGGGCGCCGGGCGCCACUGGCCUCCUGGCCUCUGUCACCGCUGAUGACAUGGCGCACAAGGCUUCCGAUGAAGUCGAAGCUAUUCUUUGGGGUCAUAGCGGUGUCAAUCAGCUUGGCGGUGUUUUCGUCGGGGGGCGCCCUCUGCCGGAUUCGACGAGACAAAAGAUCGUCGAAUUGGCUCACUCGGGCGCACGGCCAUGCGACAUAUCGAGAAUUUUGCAGGUUAGCAAUGGAUGCGUCUCGAAAAUCCUCGGCAGGUACUACGAGACGGGCUCGAUAAGACCCAGAGCAAUAGGCGGCAGUAAACCAAGGGUCGCGACAGCCGAAGUCGUUGGAAAAAUUUCACUCUACAAGAGUGAGUGUCCUUCGAUAUUCGCAUGGGAGAUCAGAGAUCGGUUGCUCCAAGAAGGCGUUUGCACUAAUGACAAUAUACCAAGCGUAUCGUCGAUAAACAGGGUUUUAAGAAAUUUAGCAGCGCAGAAGGAGCAACGGCAACAGCAGCAACAGCAUCAGCAGCAGCAACAGCAGCAGGGAGUCGGUGGGGUCGGUGUAGGAGCGGGAAGUCCUGCGGAGAUAGUCUACGACAAGCUGAGGCUACUAAAUGGCCAAACGACGGGUUGGCCGAGACCGAACCCUUGGUAUCCUGCGGGAGGCGGAAGUCCUUUUCCUUCGUUACAACCGAGUCUUAGUCCAAGUCAUUGCACCUCGUUGGCACCUGAUCCUGCGGAAAUACUGCACGCGAAGAAGGUAGCCGAGCUCGAGGGCGGCGCUCAUUCGGACGAGACAAACAGCGGAGGUGACAACAGCAACGCUGGAAGUGUUUCCGGCGGUGGUGACGACGACCAGGCACGUCUCCGUCUCAAACGAAAGUUGCAAAGAAAUCGUACGAGCUUUACAAACGAGCAGAUCGACGCUCUCGAAAAAGAAUUCGAAAGAACUCAUUAUCCGGAUGUUUUCGCGAGGGAACGAUUGGCAGGAAAAAUUGGCCUGCCCGAAGCUCGAAUACAGGUAUGGUUUUCGAAUCGCCGGGCAAAGUGGCGGAGAGAAGAGAAACUCCGCACACAACGGAGGGACAAUCCUCAGCAACAGCAGCAACAGCAACAUCCCCAGCAACAGCAACAGCACAACUUGGUUAGCGAUCAUCCGACUCCACCGCCACCCGGUGGCAUGCUCGGGGGUCAACCGCCGCCUCAGGGGCCACCUUCACCACCGAGAAUUCAUCAUGGAUUUGCACCUACUGGAGUCUAUCCUGGAAUCCCCAAUAUGUCCGACUCAUACAGCCCAAUGACUUCGAUGUCGAGCUUCACAAUGUCCGGUCAACAGGGUCAACAGCACACGAGCAGCAUGUCGUCGCUAGCAUCAGGCGGCGGUAUGGGACCAAUGGGCAUGACAGUUGGGAUGACGGUUGGACCAAGUCCAGGAGCUUGUCUUCACCAGCGGGACAACGGUUACUCGUGCGGUGUCGCAAGGCCGCCGAGCUACGAGCCCCUGCAUCUUGGCUACGGAUCGAGACCAACGUGCAGCCCGACUCAGCCUUAUCACACAGCAGGGCUCAAUCAGUACAACCAGAAUGCCAGCUCGACCGGUGAGUGUCUACCGCACUCACUGCACUCGCUGCUAGCGCUCUAGCCGAUCGUGGGACUCGGCUAUCAUCACGCUCGUGGAUACCACUAUUGAAUGAGAGUCGAUCUACGAUGCUGAACACUCUCUCACUCUCUCUCUCCUUGAACCGGUUUAAUAUCACCGGGCGUGAGUGUGCCGAUAGCUGUACCGGGACAACCAGCACCGGAUAUGGCAGCCCAAUACUGGUCACCGAGGCUGCAGUGACCGUGGUGGUCGUCCACGUCGACCUCAACUUCUUAGGACCCGGGCCAUCUCGUUCUCAGACGAUUCCCCAAUGGGAAUGUUGAGACACAAUAUUUGUGAAGAAGAGGUCUUCGCGUGACUGAUUAUAUGUGUAAACAAACGAAAAAAAGAGACAGAAAGAAAAGAUGUGACAAAAUCCAAUAUCAACGCUUCUUGCUGGGAAAUUUCGAGAGAUUUCAUUUGCGACGAAACCAAGAUUUUUUUUCUGUCAUUGUGAACACCCGCAAUCUGCGUGACUACUGCCGUUUCCCAUCAGAGUCUCUCGUACGUCGUUGGAAGCAUCGAUGAUCGACAAAAGUGACUCGUCGUCCGAUCACACUUACGCCAUCAAUAGCAACGACAAUAUUAACGCACGAAUCUUUGCUUCACACACAUACACGAACAUUUCAAUUGAAUUUUCUGUAAUCGCUCAAAUCGUAAAAGUGACACCCACCUCAUACCGAGAUAACGUUCCAUUUAUCGUUUCUCCACCGAAUUCGCGUUAAAGGAAAACAAAGUAAUAAAAAUCCUUUUAGAAAUCAGUCCUGCCUAGCGAGAUGUGUUUUAGUUAAUUGAUGAAUAAAUGAAUUGUAAACGUACAGAGAGAAAAUUUAGUAUUUAAGUAAGUCGGUAUUGCAAGUAAUAUUUAUAUAUAUAUAUAUAUAUUCGUGUAACGAACGAGGGACGAAAACAUUGAUGAUCGACGGAUGGAUGAUGUUGUCGUGCGUAUUCCGUAUCCAGCCCCCAAACUUUUCCCUCAUCAGUCUUCUUGCAUAUAAAAUAUAGCUGAUUCUUAUUAUUAUUAAUAUUAUUAUUAUCAUUAUUAUUAUCUUUUGUCAUGAUCAUCAUUAUUUUGUAUUAUUGUCACUAUUAUUAACAAAACACAAAUAUUAAGUACUUACCUGGCGUCGAUUUGCUAUGUAUAAAUAUUAUAAAUAUAAAUAUAUAUAUAUAUAAAUAUGUCUCCACUGUACGAGGUCGCGGAGUGACGGUCAUUGCGUUGGAGAAGACCGAUUGUGAUUUCUCUUAGACCAGGUAUGUUGAGCGUACAAUUAUACAUUCUAAAUAAAUAUA